GACGAACGCUGGCGGCGUGCUUAACACAUGCAAGUCGAACGGAAAGGCCCGGCUUUUGUGGGGUGCUCGAGUGGCGAACGGGUGAGUAACACGUGAGUAACCUGCCCUUGACUGUGGGAUAACUUCAGGAAACUGGGGCUAAUACCGGAUAGGAGCUCCUGCUGCAUGGUGUGGGUUGGAAAGUUUCGGCGGUUGGGGAUGGACUCGCGGCUUAUCAGCUUGUUGGGGGGGUAGUGGCUUACCAAGGCUUAGACGGGUAGCCGGCCUGAGAGGGUGACCGGCCACAUUGGGACUGAGAGACGGCCCAGUCUGCUACGGGACGCAGCAGUGGGGAAUAUUGCACAAUGGCCGGAAGCCUGAUGCAGCAACGCCGCGUGCGGGAUGACGUGCUUCGGGUGGUAAACCGAUUUCGCCGGUGACGAACCGUGCGUGACGGUAAUUGGUAAAGAAGCACCGGCUAACUACGUG
rnacentral:rRNA from 1 species